AUUGAACGCUGGCGGCAGGCCUAACACAUGCAAGUCGAGCGGAUGAAGGGAGCUUGCUCCUGGAUUCAGCGGCGGACGGGCGAGUAAUGCCUAGGAAUCUGCCUGGUAGUGUGUUAUAACGUCCGGAAACGGGCGUUAAUACCGCAUACGUCCUUAGGGAGAAAGUGGGGGAUCUUCGGACCUCACGCUAUCAGAUGAGCCUAGGUCGGAUUAGCUAGUUGGUGGGGUAAAGGCCUAACAAGGCGACGAUCCGUAACUGGUCUGAGAGGAUGAUCAGUCACACUGGAACUGAGACACGGUCCAGACUCCUACGGGAGGCAGCAGUGGGGAAUAUUGGACAAUGGGCGAAAGCCUGAUCCAGCCAUGCCGCGUGUGUGAAGAAGGUCUUCGGAUUGUAAAGCACUUUAAGUUGGGAGGAAGGGCAGUAAGUUAAUACCUUGCUGUUUUGACGUUACCAACAGAAUAAGCACCGGCUAACUUCGUG
rnacentral:rRNA from 1 species